CGGCUACUUCCGCCCCCUACAGACGUCAGCGGCUCUGCCGCGCACGUCACGAGGCUUGUUUUCUGGCGUCUCUGACUGGCCGGCUCCUUUUGCGCAGACCUAAUGUCCUUUCACCUGAUAGUCACUCCCUCAGCCUUGGGACGGUCUGAGACCCGGAAGCUGUGACCUGUGGCUCCACUGGCCGGGGUGCGCUAAUGUUUUUCUCGUUUCCAUCAAAGGACUAAAGUUCUGGGAAAGGAGCCAAUCCUGGUGGAUCCUUCAGGUGAUAGAGACUCCAGAUAUAUGCAGCUGAGAACAUCACCUUGAAAAAACAAAUGAUGUAUUCUUAUGUUUCUUUGUUGGUGAACAUUUACGUUGCGUAUUUCCACAGUGGAGGAGAGCUAUCAGGCUUCCUAGAUUAGAGACCAUCACAGGGCAUCCUUGGGAGCAGUGACCUGAAGAUGGACAAGCCAUAGGAUGGAAGGAGCUGCAUCUCUGAGUCACCACUGGAGAACAGUCACCCCCAGUGGAUUUGGAGAGAAGUCUUCUCUAAUAUUCACUUCUAAGUCCCCAUUGUAAUCUACUUCUUUUAUUCUCCAGCACUCAGUGUGGUUUAGGUUGAAUUCUAGAUUCUCAUAAUAUCUUGGACAUGGAUAAUAAGGAAAAGACCUUCACA